AGAGUUUGAUCCUGGCUCAAGAUGAACGCUAGCUACGGGCUUAACACAUGCAAGUCGAACGGAUUCUGGAUUCGUCUGGAAUUAGUGGCAAACGGGUGAGUAACACGUAUCCAACCACCCUGCGACUCGGGGAUAGCCUCUUGAAAGGGAGAUUAAUAUCCGAUGUACUGUUUUUGGUGCAUGCCAUUUUCAGUAAAGUUUUUUUACGGUCGCUGACGGGGAUGCGUUCCAUUAGAUAGUCGGUGUGGUAACGGCUCACCGAGUCUAUGAUGGAUAGGGGUUCUGAGAGGAAGGUCCCCCACAUUGGAACCGCGACACGGUCCAAACUCCUACGGGAGGCAGCAGUGAGGAAUAUUGGUCAAUGGGCGAAAGCCUGAACCAGCUAUGUAGCGUGAAGGAUGACUGCCCUAUGGGUUGUAAACUUCUUUUGUUCGGGAAUAACAGACUUCACUUGUGGAGUUUUGCAUGUACCGUUCGAAUAAGGAUCGGCUAACUCCGUGCCAGCAGCCGCGGUAAUACGGAGGAUCCUAGCGUUAUUCGGAUUUAUUGGGUUUAAAGGGAGCGUAGGCGGGGGGUCAAGUCAGCUGUGAAAUACGUACGCUUAACGUUCGUCUUGCAGUUGAAACUGGUUUUCUUGAGUGCGUAUGAGGCAGGCGGAAUUCGUGGUGUAGCGGUGAAAUGCUUAGAUAUGACGAGGAACUCCUAUUGCGAAGGCAGCUUGCUGGGUCGUUACUGACGCUGAUGCUCGAAGGUGCGGGGAUCAAACAGGAUUAGAUACCCUGGUAGUCCGCACAGUAAACGAUAAUCACUAGGUGUCGGGUUUCAAAUAAACUCGGUGCCGUAGCUAACGCGUAAAGUGAUUCGCCUGGGGAGUACGAUCGCAAGGUGAAAACUCAANAGGAAUUGACGGGGACCCGCACAAGCGGUGGAGCAUGUGGUUUAAUUCGAUGCAACGCGAAGAACCUUACCUGGGCUUGACAUGUAUAAGAACCUAUUAGAGAUAAUGGGGUGCUGGUUCGCCAGAGCUUUUACACAGGUGCUGCAUGGCUGUCGUCAGCUCGUGUCGUGAGAUGUUGGGUUAAGUCCCGCAACGAGCGCAACCCUUAUCCUUAGUUGCCAUCAUUUAGUUGGGGACUCUAGGGAGACUGCCAGCGUAAAAAGCUGGAGGAAGGUGGGGACGACGUCAAGUCAUCAUGGUCCUUAUGUCCAGGGCUACACACGUGCUACAAUGGUUGGUACAAAGAGGAGCUACGCAGUAAUGCCACGCAAAUCUCAUAAAGCCAAUCUCAGUUCGGAUUGAGGUCUGCAACUCGACCUCAUGAAGUCGGAAUCGCUAGUAAUCGUGCGUCAGAACAGCACGGUGAAUACGUUCCCGGGUCUUGUACACACCGCCCGUCAAG
rnacentral:rRNA from 1 species